rnacentral:rRNA from 1 species
GAUGAACGCUGGCGGCGUGCUUAACACAUGCAAGUCGAACGAAGCACCUUAUUCUGAUUUCUUCGGAAUGAAAAUUUGGUGACUGAGUGGCGGACGGGUGAGUAACGCGUGGGUAACCUGCCUCAUACAGGGGGAUAACAGUUGGAAACGACUGCUAAUACCGCAUAAGCCCACGACCCGGCAUCGGGUUGAGGGAAAAGGAGUGAUCCGCUUUGAGAUGGCCUCGCGUCCGAUUAGCUAGUUGGUGAGGUAACGGCCCACCAAGGCGACGAUCGGUAGCCGGACUGAGAGGUUGAACGGCCACAUUGGGACUGAGACACGGCCCAG